rnacentral:misc_RNA from 1 species
AAGUCGUAACAAGGUUUCCGUAGGUGAACCUGCGGAAGGAUCAUUAACACGUAUCCAAACGUUAAACCUACUCGUACGUCCGUUAGAAAAAGCAGCAAUCCCUGGUAAAUCAUCGCCGAACAGUUUUCGAUUCAGGGACGUCUGCAAGGAGCGUGCAUGUUGUGCGAAGCAAGUGGCCUGGCAUCCCCAAGCAGUUAGUGUCUGAAAGUGUCAUUACCUGUGUAAGGAUGACGCAGUCACGAUCGUUGGAGGCCCACACGGCCGACGACCGGGUCGCUGGGCGCAAGCCCCCCUAUAACAAACCCCCUGCCAAUCGCGGCCGCGAUAAUACGCAGUCGACCAAAAACCGAACAACUGUUAACAAUGGAUAUCUUGGUUCUC